rnacentral:tRNA from 1 species
GGGGCUAUAGCUCAGUGGUAGAGUGCUUGCCUACCAUAUAUGAGGCUCUGGGUUCAAUCCUCAGCCCCA